CGUGCUGGUAGGCAAGCGUGUUAACAGGGGUGACGCACAGUGGUAGCCCGGCGGGCCUAAUGGCUUGGCCUGUUCAAGCGCGCAGCCCGGUCCCUAGGUAAAUCCGGGGGCCAGCCUCAUGCGUGGGGCGCAGGUGAGGCGUGAUGGUGACCGGUAGCCGUGUGCUGCUGGGAUAACAGGGUGAUCCUGGGGUGCCGAGAAAAGCCUCGACGCGAUGGUCUAAGCCGCCCGUACCCGAAACCGACACAGGUGGUCCGGCAGAGUAUGCCUAGGCGAACGAGUGAACCGUGGUGAAGGAACUCGGCAAAAUGCCCCCGUAACUUCGGGAGAAGGGGGGCCCGGACCUUGAAGCAGCUGGCCUGCUAGGGGUGAGGGCCGCAGAGACCAGGGGGGAGCGACUGUUUACUAAAAACACAGGUCCGUGCGAAGCCGUAAGGCGAGGUAUACGGACUGACGCCUGCCCGGUGCUGGAAGGUUAAGAGGAUCCCUCAACCCCUGUCUUGUGGGGUGAAGGGGUGAGUUCAAGCCCCAGUAAACGGCGGUGGUAACUAUAACCAUCCUAAGGUAGCGAAAUUCCUUGUCGGGUAAGUUCCGACCUGCACGAAUGGCGUAACGACUUCCCCACUGUCUCCACCACGGGCUCGGCGAAAUUGCAUUACGAGUAAAGAUGCUCGUUACGCGCAGAAGGACGGAAAGACCCCGGGACCUUUACUAUAGCUUGGUAUUGGCGUCCGCCAUGGUUUGUGCAGGAUAGGUGGGAGACUGUGAGACCGCCACGCUAGUGGUGGUGGAGUCAUUGUUGAGAUACCACUCUGGCUGUGGCGUGCGCCUGAACCUCGGCCCGUGAUCCGGGUCAGGGACAGUGCCUGGUGGGUAGUUUAACUGGGGCGGUUGCCUCCUAAAAAGUAACGGAGGCGCUCAAAGGUUCCCUCAGCCUGGUCGGUAACCAGGUGGCGAGUGCAAGUGCACAAGGGAGCUUGACUGCGAGACCGACACGUCAAGCAGGUACGAAAGUAGGAACUAGUGAUCCGGCGAUCCCGUGUGGAUGGGUCGUCGCUCAACGGAUAAAAGGUACCCCGGGGAUAACAGGCUGAUCCUGCCCAAGAGUCCAUAUCGACGGCAUGGUUUGGCACCUCGAUGUCGGCUCGUCGCAUCCUGGGGCUGGAGCAGGUCCCAAGGGUUGGGCUGUUCGCCCAUUAAAGCGGUACGCGAGCUGGGUUUAGAACGUCGUGAGACAGUUCGGUCCCUAUCCUCUGCGCGCGCAGGAGACUUGAGAAGGCCUGUCCCUAGUACGAGAGGACCGGGACGGACGAACCUCUAGUGCGCCAGUUGUCCCGCCCGGGGCACCGCUGGUUAGCCACGUUCGGAUACGGAUAACCGCUGAAAGCAUCUAAGCGGGAAACCAUCUUCAAGACCAGGUCUCCACACACCCAAUAUGGUGUGGAAGGCCCCCAGCAGACCACUGGGUAGAUAGGCCAGACGUGCACGAUCGGUAACGAUCGAAGCUGACUGGUACUAACCGGCCGACACAACACACA
rnacentral:rRNA from 1 species